rnacentral:rRNA from 1 species
GACGAACGCUGGCGGCGCGCUUAACACAUGCAAGUCGAGCGAGAACCGGGGCUUCGGCUCCGGGGAAAGCGGCGAACGGGUGAGUAACACGUGGGUAACCCACCCUUGGUAUCCGGAUAGCCCGGGGAAACCCGGAUUAAUACGGAAUGGCCCAACAGCCUCUCGGGGCGGUUGGAAAAGGUAGCUUCGGCCUCCGACCAAGGACGGGCCCGCGGCGGAUUAGCUUGUUGGUGCGGGUAACGGCCCACCAAGGCGACGAUCCGUAGCUGGUCGAGAGGACGAUCAGCCACACUGGGACUGAGACACGGCCCAGACUCCUACGGGAGGCAGCAGUGGGGAAUCUUGCGCAACGGGCGAAAGCCUGACGCAGCGACGCCGCGUGGGGGAAGGAAGG